rnacentral:rRNA from 1 species
UACGUAGGGCGCAAGCGUUGUCCGGAAUUAUUGGGCGUAAAGAGCUCGUAGGCGGUUUGUCGCGUCUGCUGUGAAAACCUAAGGCUCAACCUUGGGCUUGCAGUGGGUACGGGCAGACUAGAGUGCGGUAGGGGUGACUGGAAUUCCUGGUGUAGCGGUGGAAUGCGCAGAUAUCAGGAGGAACACCGGUGGCGAAGGCGGGUCUCUGGGCCGAUACUGGCGCUGAGGAGCGAAAGCGUGGGGAGCGAACAGG